CAGUCGCCGCGGUAAUACGUAGGGUGCAAGCGUUAAUCGGAUUUACUGGGCGUAAAGCGUGCGUAGGCGGCUUUUUAAGUCGGAUGUGAAAUCCCUGAGCUUAACUUAGGAAUUGCAUUCGAUACUGGGAAGCUAGAGUAUGGGAGAGGAUGGUAGAAUUCCAGGUGUAGCGGUGAAAUGCGUAGAGAUCUGGAGGAAUACCGAUGGCGAAGGCAGCCAUCUGGCCUAAUACUGACGCUGAGGUACGAAAGCAUGGGGAGCAAACAGGAUUAGAUACCCCCGUAGUCCCUGUCUCUUAUAC
rnacentral:rRNA from 1 species